CCUUUUCAAAACCUUGUGCUCCAAAUUUUUUUCUCCCUUCCCUCUUCCCACUCCAUCCCCUAGACAAGUAAUCAAAUAUGUUACACAUGUACAAUUCUUCUAUACAUUUCCACAAUUAUCAUGCUGCAUAAGAAAAAUCAGAUCAAAAAGGAAAAAAAAAUGAGAAAGUAAAAUACAAACAACACAAAAAAGUCAAAAUACGUUGUAAUCCACACUAGUUCCCACAGUCUUCUCUCUAGAUGCAGAUGGUUCUUCAUUACAAGAUCAUUGGAACUGCCCUAAAGCACCUCAGUAUUGAAAAGAGCCACAUUCAUCAGAAUUGAUCAUCAUAUUAUCUUCUUGUUUCUGUGUACAAUGAUCUCCUGGUUCUGCUCACUUCAUUUAGCAUCAGUUCAUGCAGGUCUCUCCAGGCCUCUCUGAAAUCAUCCUGCUGAUCAUUUCUUAUAGAAUAAUAUUCCAUAACAUUCACAUAUCAUAACUUACUCAGCCAUUCAUUCCCCAAGUGAUGGGCAUCCCCUCAGUUUCCAGUUCCUUGCCACUACAAAAAGGAUUAUUACAAAUAUGUUUGCACCUGGGUCCCUUUCUUUCCUUUAAAAUCUCUUUGGAAUAUAAACCCAGUAGAGACAUCGCUGGAUCAAAGGGUAUGCAGUUUAAUAAUAGCCCUUUGGGCAUAAUUCCAGAUGACUCUCCAGAUUGGUUGUAUUAGUUCACAACUCCACAAACAACAUAUUAAGUGUCGCAAUUUUCCCACAUCCCCUCCAACAUGGUGUGUAGGAGUACCUCAGAGCUGUCUUAAUUUGCAUUUAGCAAUUUAGAGUAUUUUCUUCAUGACUAGAAAUGGUUUUAAUUUCAUCUGAAAAUUUUCUGUCCAUAUCCUUUGACCAUUUAUCAAUUGGAGAAGGGUGUGUAUUCUUAUAAAUUUAUAGUCAUAUAGAGUCAAUUCUCUAUAUAUUUUAGAAAUUAGACCUUUAUCAAAACCUUUGGAUGUAAAAAUUUUUUUCCCAACUUAUUGCUUCCCUUCUAAUCUUGUCUGCAUUGGUUUUGUUUGUACAAAAACAUUUUAACUUUAAUAUAAUCAAAAUUACCCAUUUUGUAUUCCAUAAUACACUCUAGCUCUUUUUUGGCCACAAAUCCUUCCUUUCCCAUAGAUCUUAGGAGAUAGACUAUCCUUUGUUUUUCUAAUUUGCUUAUGGUAUAACUCUUUAUGUCUAAAUCAUAAACCCAUUUUGACUUUAAAUCUUGGUAUAAGAUGUUAGGUAUGGGUCAAUGCCUCGUUUCUGCCAUACUAAUUCCCAAUUUUCCCAACAAUUUUUGUCAAAUAGUGAGUUCUUAUUCCAGAAGCUGGGGUCUUUAAGUAAAUAACUGCUGCAUCUUGUGAACCUAACCUAUUCCACUGAUCGACUAGUCUAGCCAGUAUCAAGUAGUUUUCAUGACCAUUGCUUUAUAAUAUAGUUUUAGGUCUAGUACAGCUAGGUUACCUUCACUUGCAUUUUUUUUCAUUAAUUCCCUUGAAAUUCUUGACCUUUUGUUCUUCCAGAUGAACUUUGUUAUUACUUUUUCUAGCUCUGUAAAAUAAUUUCUUAGGAGUUUGAUUGGUAUGGCACUGAAUAAGUAAAUUAAUUUAGGUAGACUUGCUAUAUUAUAUCAAAAUUUCCAUUUUAAAAAAUAUAGAGAUAAUUUUAAAGUGCUUUGCAAACUUUAAAAUAUCAUAUAAAAUUGUUAUUGUUGUUAUAGUUUAUAAAUAUGUAAAAAAUAUCAGGUUCACAUGAUUAAAGACUGAAAAUCUAUUUAUACUCAAAAAAAAAUUGUUUUUCCCCAAUAUUAGCAACAUUAUUAAGCAGCUACCAAACACUACUUAGGAAGUAAAAAUGCAAGGAAAAAUUAAAGUCUCUGCCCUAAAAGAGCUUGCAUUCUACAGGAAACAAAAUAAACAUUUGUGUCUUAAGUAUGUAUAUAUGUAUAUAAAACGUAUGCAUGUAGGUAUAUACAAUCAGAUACUAAUACUGGAAGUUAUCUAAAGAUAAUAAUAAGAGGGUGCUGCAGUUUGGUAGCAAGGGACACGGUGAGAGGUCAGACCACUAGCGGUUUUUUGGAGGAUGUAAUAGAGAAAAAUGAAGAAGGAAAAAAAGUUUAGGUUAAAAAGUGACAAGUACCUGAAAUUUUAAAAUAGUAUUAAAAAUAGUAAUAGCUUUUAGGUAGCACUUUGAGAUUUACACAAUUUUUAUAUGGUUUCUCAUUUGAUUUUCAUAACAACCUAGUUGGAUCAGUGCUAUUAUUCUCCCCAUUUUAUAGAUAAGGAAACUGAAGUGAUGAGAGAUUAAGAGAUCUGAUCAGGAUCACACAGCUAAAUAAGAGUCUGAGGCUACACAUAAACUUGGAUUCAGCUGGGUGGAACAGUGGUUAGAGCAUUCGGCUUGGAAUGAGGAUGUUUCAUCAGUAUGACCAGUUUCAGGCACUUACUAGUUGUGUGACUCAAAGCAUGUAACUUAAUCCUGUUUACCUCAGUUCCUCAUCUGUAAACUGAGCUGAGAAAGGAACUGUAAAACCCCUCCAGUAUCUGCCAAGAAAACUCCAAAAAGGCAUCUCGAAGAGUUGGAAACAACUGAAAACUACACAACUUCUUUACUCCAAGUUCAUUAUUGUACCACCUACUUGUUCUGGGAGCUGGCUCUGUGAAGAGCAGGAGAUGUAUGUGAAAAAUCUUACAAAAUAAAAAUGACAACAUCUGGCAUUUAACAGAUAUAUGCUAAGAGCAUAAGGAACACUCAACAAUAAAAGGAAAAGUCAGAAGUGAUGUAUAUUUGGGGAAAAACACAAUAAAUUCCACUUUAGACAAGCUAGGUUUGAUAUCUCUGGGACACUUAAUUGGUAACUUCCAAAAGGUAGUUAAAUAGUGAUAAAUGUAGAAAUUUUCUUAAUUUAUAUAGCAAACAUUUAUACUAAAAUAGCUGGCAUGUGCAGUUAAUAUUUUCAUAUAUAUAUUUUUUAUAUAUCUAUACAUAUAUUAUAAAUAAAUAUAUGAGGUGGUAUGUCAUGCUGGAAAUACUGAAUUUGGAUUCUGAAAGACAGAUUCAAAUCCUACAUCUAACACUGUCUGUGUGACUAUGGGUAAAUAAGUCAUUUAAUUUCUCUGAAUUUCAGAAAACUUUUCUAAAACUUAUCUAUUAAAUUAUAGAUAAUCUAGCUAAUGAACAAUUUCUUUCAUCAAAUGAAUCAGAUUGUUGGCAUAUUGAUAUGUGUAUAGUAUGUGUGUGUGUGUAUAUAUAUAUAUGUAUGUAUAUACAUGUGUAUACAUAUAUAUAUAUAUACACAUUAUAUAGAGAAAGGAUGUGUAAAUAUAUGUAUACAUGUGUACACACUCCAAAAAAAGCAUCAUUAGCUAUAAAAACAAAUGGAAAAUAUGUAGAAUACUUUAUUAUUAUUAAAAAUACUGAUAAUUCAUCUAAGUAUUGUCUGUUUUCCAAACUACCAGUGCUAUGAUGUUUCCAUUUUUAAACAAGUUUGUUUCAACAUGUAAGUGGUUAAAGGAAAGGAACAAAUUAUUCUCAAAACAAAAUGCAAAUGAUCC
ensembl:lncRNA